GCUCAGAAACUACAAAGGAAGUUGGACGGGGGCCCGCACAAGCGGUGGAGCAUGUGGUUUAAUUCGAUGAUACGCGAGGAACCUUACCUGGGCUCAAAUGUAUGUUGACGUAUUCUGAAAGGGAUACUUCUUCGGACAAUAUACAAGGUGCUGCAUGGUUGUCGUCAGCUCGUGCCGUGAGGUGUCGGGUUAAGUCCCAUAACGAGCGCAACCCCUAUCAUUAGUUGCCAUCAGGUCAAGCUGGGGACUCUAAUGAAACUGCCUACGCAAGUAGUGAGGAAGGUGGGGAUGACGUCAAAUCAGCACGGCCCUUACGUCCAGGGCUACACACGUGCUACAAUGGCCGGUACAAAGGGCAGCUACCUGGUGACAGGAUGCUAAUCUCAAAAGCCGGUCUCAGUUCGGAUCGGAGUCUGCAACCCGACUCCGUGGAGCUGGAAUCGCUAGUAAUCGCGCAUCAGCCAUGGCGCGGUGAAUACGUUCCCGGGCCUU
rnacentral:rRNA from 1 species